UACGGAGGAUCCGAGCGUUAUCCGGAUUUAUUGGGUUUAAAGGGAGCGUAGAUGGGUUGUUAAGUCAGUUGUGAAAGUUUGCGGCUCAACCGUAAAAUUGCAAUUGAUACUGGCAGCCUUGAGUACAGUUGAGGUAGGCGGAAUUCGUGGUGUAGCGGUGAAAUGCUUAGAUAUCACGAAGAACUCCGAUUGCGAAGGCAGCCUACUAAACUGCCACUGACAUUGAUGCUCGAAAGUGUGGGUAUCAA
rnacentral:rRNA from 1 species